GAGAGCAAGCCCUGGAAGUUCUGCAU
rnacentral:piRNA from 1 species